UGCAGAUGAUGUGACAAAUAUUUGCUAUCUCAACACUCAUGCUGACAUCUCCACCAAGAUCACUGAUGCA